AUAAAAAAAAAAGGUUAUUGCAAGCAACAACACUAAGGACUUGUCCUUUCCAAGAGAGCCAAGUGUAAAGCUGUACAAGCAGAACAAAAAGCACAAACCAACAGGAUGGGGAUGCUGUCCCACGAAGGAGCAGAUCUGAGGAUCAAAAUGGUGAAAAACUGGAGCGUUCACAGGGAACCGCGACAGGAACGACUACAGGAUUAGUAAAGAUGGACCCGAGGGGGAGCUCUGCAAGUCUGCAACAGGAGUGUUAAAUGCUCAGUUGAUCAGCCUGUACACAGCUACACGGGGACGGAAAUCUGGUAAUGGAGCUUUCCUCCGUCAAGCAGACUGAGAUACAACAACAUCCAGAAACUGAAAGCAGAAACUAGAGAAGUUUAAAAAAGGUAUUUUGAUUUCUAGUCUUUCAGGUAGGCUUUGAUGGAAACAAUUUACUAACUCUUACUCUCUCUCACAGCCCAUUUUAAAAUGAAAAUCUGUUUUUCUAUGAUGUAGCCAUGCUGUAGUUAAUUUCUUUCAAAUAAGCAACAAAUUCACAAAAAUCUGACGACCUGCAUAACGCAGGAAGUCGAACCAGAUGAACCUAGGUCUCUUUUGUCCUUUAUAAUCUAUUAAUCUAGUUUCCUUGCACAAGCAGCGGAUUGUGACAUGAAAACCUUCAAUAUAAAGGAUUCUGUGUACAAGCCAGUCUAAACCAAAAUGUUGUAAACAGUCAUAAUCAUUGUUUGGCAGAACAGCUGCCUGUUUUUUAUUUCACUUUGCCUCUCAAUCUAAUUUGCUCUUGUUGCAACACUUUGCCAAAGAAAUUAAAUCACUUCUUAUUGAUAACAGACAGUGAAAUAAUUAACAUAAGAGUUUUCUACUCCAUGAUGCAGGGGAGGGACGCUGUGGGCAAGAACAAACCCCUUUGCUUGGGCAAGAACAAACCCCUUUGCUUCAAGAAUGUGCAUAGAGUAACCACAAGCUGUUCAGAGAAAAAAAAAUCUUCCACCCCCCCCGAAAGAUCUCUUUCUUUCUCUAAAGAGUCUCACACAGUAAACCAGGGUCAAUCUAACUGAAGUAUGAAAGUCUGGUUUGACCUUUCUGGGAUUUAAACAUUCUGUACCAGAACAUUUAGCUUUUCAGAUACGAGGUUCAGCCAUGAAACCACCCACUCUGAGAGUGCAACCGGUCUCAACUGCCUUGGUGACUUUUCAACUACAUUGAACACGAUCGUCAUUUAGAAACUCUAAAAACGGAAAGAAAUGUUCAGCUCAGACUUACAAAAACAAUUUUCAGAAGUGCUGAGGACCCACACAAUUCACUGGGUCCGCAUGGCGGGCUCACUCUACAACGCCUGCUGCCCCAGCAACUUCUGGCCCUGAUUUGCACGUACGCGGCGCCAGGCACAUGCUUUGGGACCUCUCCCAGCUGGAGCAGUUCACGGAUCAUACCAUCGGGAACGGCCGUCCUGAACAAUGAUUAAUUGCAGACAAAGAUCAGAGUCCUGGAAAAAUGCGCAGAGAGGUGCAAGUACAGACAAAGCUGUCUAAGCUCCCACAGUAUUAUGGUCUGGCUGAAUCAUUUCAAAGCCUGCGUUAAGCAGAGCUAGUUUGCUUCAGGGUUAAACAGACCGACGUUAAGGUUUAAAUGCAGAUAUUACUAAUAUCCAAAUAUCUAUUUCAACAUGAAUUUUAAAGCUCAGGAAACUUAAUAGCUGAUGCUGUUUAAAUCUCUUUUUUUUUUUUUUUUUAAUCCCUUUACAUGCCGACUUAACUCAUUAUGAUGCAAGCUGCGGAAACAUUUUCAUUACAGUUCAAAAAACCCCUGCAAAACCAAGAACAGAUCUACAGCGUACUUUGAUCUACACGUCGCCUGUUUCGGCCAUUUCCAGGAAGCUAAAAUGCUUUUCACCUCUAUUGAGAAAUAGUAGAGGAGCAUUUUAAUAGUGUUUAGCUAAGAAUCACGUCACCGUUUCUUCCGAGUUUAUUAGCAGAUUAUUAUUUAAAGCAAUUUUAAACCAGGAAGGCUGUUGCAGUACUGCCAUGAGCAAGGGCCAGGCGUUUAAAGAUGGUCUGGCCGGACAAGGCGCGCCUCACAGGGACCGAGCCCUCGGAGGGUCUUGGCGGCCGCAAACCCCCAUGGCUGCAAGAGCUGCACCCCGAGAGGGGGGCACAGAGCGCAGGGGUAGCGUUUUAAAGCCAGCCUGGCAGUGCGAAGACUUUUUUUUUUUCCUCCCUCCAUAGAAACGUGUCAUGUUUUGUGCUGACGGUUUGUCGCUUGUUCUCGACGGAGCCUGACCCGGUGAGGACGGAGGGGGGGGAGAACAAGAAAUGAAGAAGAUGAGCGUGAGCCCUCGCGUCCUUGCAAAAGGCGCAGGCUUGCGGUGCCUCCUUCGCGGCAGCAUCCUGCUCCCUCGCAGGAAAACACCCUUGAGCCUCGGCACAUACCACAGCACAGGUUUUACAAACCCACGGAGCGGCUGGUCCUGAGCCGCAGGAACUGGCGGGCAGGGCGCACCCUGCCCGGCACAUGCCGCUCCCGCAGGCAGCCUCUGCCAAGCAGCCACUUACCUUCUCCCUCCCACAGGGUCCGCAGGACGGUCCUGCUCUAGCCUUACCAGGGAGGCCACCUCUCUACAAGUGUUUGCUUUUCCUCCCUGUCCUGCCCUCUGAAGUGGUUGCUCAAGCCAGGCUUUCCUAGCUCACCUAAUUUGGGUUUGCAGUGGAGCACAAGGUGCAACUCCCCGCAGAGCACAGCGAGGUUUGUGAAGCUCCGAAAUAACCCCCACGCCUCCACCCAAAGCGAGCUGCAGGAAAAUCUGCUCGGGAAAAAAAAAGAAAAAAGGAAAAAAAAGAAGAGAAAAAAAGAGAAAAAAAAAAGGCACAUGUAACACCUCAGACGGCCAUGGCGGCUCGCACUGCAGCACGGCACCCGGCUCCGCGCCAGCCCAGCCCCGGCUGCGGGCCCGGGGAGCUGGGCGCUGCAGGCCGGCCUGGCCGGGCCAUCCCACCCCGGCUGCGGGCGGGAGGAGGCAGGGCAGCGGCUGCCCCGGCGGAGCGGCUGGGCGAUGGCGGAGGGGGGGAAAGCCCAGGAGGGGCAGGAGAAGGAAAACAACAAAGAGCCAUGUGACGAGCGGCGGGGAGCGGCGGCCGCGCUCCCCCCGGCGCGUUGGCGGGGCGCAGCGCAGCCCGCUCCAGGCGGGGAGGCUGGCGACGCCGCCCUGCUCCUCCCGCGGCCGGCGCUGCCUGCUCAUUUGCCUGGCUUCUCCCUCCAUCCAUCCCCCACAACUGCCUGGCUUUGGGGUUUUUUGGGGGGAGUUUUUUUUUGGGGGGGGCUAUUGUUUGUUCCUCUUAAAAAUCCUUUUUUUCCUCUGCAUUAGGCUACUUUCAUCUUUGGGUAUUUAUAAAACCUAAGCGAGCGAGAGGCUGCGGCGGGGGGAAGGGAGGAAGACGAGGGGCGGGCGGCGUUAUUUAUAGGCACUCAGGACUUCGCCUGCAUUAUGCGAGCAGCCUUUGUCCUCCCCACCCGGCUCUUCCCCCCCCCCGCCCCGGCCGGGCUGGAGCGUCGCCAGCCCUGCCGCCCGCAGCGCUGCCUCCCGCUGCUGCAGGGCGCUCCCCAGCGCGGCCAUGUUGUGCGCGGCAGCGAGGAGAAAAAGCCGCCAGGCGCCCCGCUCCCUCCUCGGCUUCGCUUUCCACAACCCCUCACAAAGCAGUGGGGGAAGGGGGGGGGGCGGGAAAGGGGAGAGAGGGAGAGAAAAAAAAAAAGACAAAAAAAAAGGCCAUUUCCCUCCAGUGAUCGAGAUGCGAAGCGCCGCCAGGCAGUGGGGGAGAGCCCGCCUCGCCGCCGCCCCAGCCCUGAAGAGAACGCGGCGCCGAAGGAGAAGCCAUGAUGGCGGCUAUCCUCACACAACAUGGAGCGCGACCGGGAGCGCCCUGCCCGCCGCCAGCCGCCCCUCCCGGCGCCCGGGACACGGUGCUUCCGCAGGCUUUCACAUAAUAAAACCACCAGACUUCGGCGGGGAGGCCAUUUCAUGGGCUGGGUGGCUGCACUAAAGUACAACUGCUGUGAAUAUCAACUGCGUCACGGCUCUCCAACUGUAAAACUCAGGCUGCAAAGGGUCCCUCACUUGGAAGGAAACUCCCUCAUUUUGGAUUUACUUCCAGACCUCCUUUUUCCCCCCUCUCUCCAAGUCACUGCCUCUCGGUAUGAAGGAUUUUACAGUGCUUUUUAGUGAGACAUCCGCCAUUAAGACUCACCGUCUUGAAAAACACCCCCCCAUUUUGUUGCUUUUGUCGAGCUUCUGUAAUUAGAUGGAUAAAACACAUAAGGGAUCCCUACCACCACCGCCUUUUCGCCUUUUUUUAAAAUCAACCUCAGUAACAUCUUCCUGUUCGCAGGCAGAUUUUUUUUUUUUUUUUUACUUUUGGUGCGUUCAAUUUAACAGCCACGUAACGCCUGCAAUGGAUUCACGGCGUCUCUCCGCAAAAAAAAAAAAAAGCACCACACCACAGGGCUGCGGACGACCAAGCGCUUUGUGCAGAAAAAGAAAUCCCUCCCUGAAAAUAGACGUUUCAGAGACGCUGUUAGAUGUAUCUGAGGAGAAGGAUAUCGCCACCGCUCCUAAAGAUGACCAUUAGGAUCUUGCCGCCCAGGACAAUAACGUUAGCCGCACAGGCCUGGUCUAUAUGGUUCUCUGCAAGGGCAAAAGGGUUUACUUACCCGCGCACCAUAGUUGAAUGCAGCUCUGAAGGUGAAGUUGUUACGCUUUUUUAAAAUAACGGCUAUAAAUAUAUAUGAUCUGUAUCACCACUUCUCUCGUAAGUUUGCAAGUCAAAGCGGAUCUUGUUAAGAUAGUUACGGAUCUUUGUAUGGCAGUGGUCUAGCAUCAUAAAAAAAAAGGGGGGGGGGAAGCUAUAGAAAAAGUUGUCCAGCUAUGUUGGCUGACCGUACACAGUGAAGACUCCUACUCGAGGCUUAGAUCUACCUUCCUGUGGCAGAUUUACUCUACAUAAAAAGGACAUUCAGUGUUUUUCCACAGAGCACGCAGACGCUGAAAAUGUUCUAAAUAGUUUCAGGCUGCACAUGUUAGUGUGAAAACACCUGGUUAACAUUUACUUGGUUGUAAACAACUUUUAAGCAUCUCUUAGCCAGAUAUUUUGCUUUAGAAGUAAAAUAUUUCAAAAAGCAUAAAUUGGUUUAGAUUAACAGACAAAAACAUAAGACAUGCAAAUGAAGGCUUAGCAAUAAGGACCACUUCAGUAACAUUAACAUGAAAACUACACUUAGCAAGGACAGAAUGGAUUGGGUACUUACAACAUAAGAGGAAAGGAAAAAAGCUUAUCAUAGUAAAAUUGCUUUUUUUUUUGCCAAAAUUCACUAUUCCUAUGCCUAUAUUUAAAACAUUACCUUAUAAGCACCAAAGGAGUUAAUAAAAAUGGCCAGGAAUCAAGUGUUUAAUACAGGAAAUACUCUCUCAAAUUUAUUGUUGAGUCAUCAGAGAGCUCUAUAAAGCUUAAAAACCCCCAAAACAACAACAAAAAAUAUUAAAAACGAUGUAUUUUUUUUGGCA